CAAAUGUGGCUCCUUCGAAUUCCGGUCUUGGUGUCCUGGCGCCUUUGAUCGAGUUGUGAUUUAUCCAAGCGGAUAGUGCCUUUAUCUUCUUUGCGACUUUGGUGCUUUCCCCUCCUGCCAUAUGAAAUUAUAUGGCUGUGGUGGGGCGAGAUCAUGGUUGCGUUGAGGACGUGCUACCUGGUUGAUCCUGCCANUAGUCAUAUGCCUUGUCUA
rnacentral:misc_RNA from 1 species